UACGGAGGGGGCUAGCGUUGUUCGGAAUUACUGGGCGUAAAGCGCACGUAGGCGGCUUUGUAAGCUAGAGGUGAAAGCCCGGAGCUCAACUCCGGAAUUGCCCUUAAGACUGCAUCGCUCGAAUCAUGGAGAGGUGAGUGGAAUUCCGAGUGUAGAGGUGAAAUUCGUAGAUAUUCGGAAGAACACCAGUGGCGAAGGCGACUCACUGGACAUGUAUUGACGCUGAGGUGCGAAAGCGUGGGGAGCAAACAGG
rnacentral:rRNA from 1 species